rnacentral:lncRNA from 1 species
AACAUCAAGAUGCCCCUUUUCAGCCGCAGUAAACAACGCUAUUUCCCCUAAUUCAUUCACCUCAUUCACAACUGAUGCCCUAAUUUCCGCUACCUCAGCAUCAAAAUCUGCUCCACUCAAAGUCCCGACCAUUUGGUUAUCAAUAUCAUCAAGAAUUUGCUUUACAGCAGCUCUGGCCCUCUGCUCUGCUCGACUGCUCUGAAGGAGGUACUGUUUAAUGAUUCAAUCCAUGGGCGAUUCUUGACGAGAGGUGGUUACAUGAUGUGGGUCUGAGGUAAAAUUAUAUUCCCUUUAUAUGUGAUCAGAUUUAUCAUUUAUGGGUUUUUGUUUCCUUUUUGUUUUGGGGUUAAUAUAUAUGAUUAAUGAUAUAAUGAUACUCUGGUCAAGUUUCUGUCUUUGGGUUUAGAGAAAUAAUAUUUUUGUUGCCCUGGAACAAUUGGGGUUAUGCAUUCUCCUUUUAUCUAGUAGCUAUUGUUUAUUGAGGAUGGAUAUGCUGAUUGAUCAGUAUACUGUUAUAGUUUCCUUAUCUAGUUGGAUUCUCCUUGUUUGACACUUUGAAAGAAAAAAAAAUUAUGACUUUCCUUGUUGAUGAUAAGAAUUCUUGGAGUUUUAGUAUGUUAUGUGGUCACUUAUAAUUUAGAAGGCAUCAUUCUCUGCAGUAAGAGAAACAAGAAACAAGGCUUCAGUAUUUAACUGUAAUUUCUGAAUUUUUAGGUUUUAACAUGGCGAACGCUAGCAGGAGCUCCUCCCAUGUCCGGCUCUGCUCUGAAGCUCCUGAGUAGCCCAGGAGGAAAAAAAAUCUUGCCUCCGCCCUUGUUUCCAAGGUCUACAUUUGAAAUCUAAGUGUAGUAUGGUCUGAGGUCUAUAUAACGGUUUUCUGGUACUCUUUUGAAGGAAGAUUUGAAUGAAGUCGGCUAAUGUUUAUUUCUAUUGUUUAUUCCAAGUUUGAUAGCCGAAUAUUUUAAGACCAAAUCUUGUUUUAAGAUCUAGACAUGGAGAUGGAAUCCUCCCACGCCUUCUAUUCUAAUUUCCUUCCAUAAAUUCUUCUUUUCUUCUAUUUCUGUCCUUUUACCUCAUGUUCUACAUCAAGGUGUCAGACAACAAUUCACUAUUUCAAAUUUGAACUAUUCCAAGUUACUGAUGGUACAAAAAUUAAAAGGAUACCAUUUAAAACCAUUCUAGAUCAACAAGACAAGAUACAUAUUGUACAUCCCGUAAAGAUCAAUACAGCUCAAGAAGACUU